GUGUGUGGUAUGGACAGGAGAUGGGAGAGUUUUCUUCUAUAACCCGAGUCAGCGUGCUUCCCUGUGGGAGAAACCGGAGGAGCUGAUUGGACGGGCGGACGUGGACAAGAUGAUACAGGGACCCCCAGACAGCAACAAGGGAGCAGGGAAAGAAGAGGAGGAGCCCCCAGCCAAGAAGUCCAAGAUGGAGCCGGAGGAGCCCGAGGAGAAGAAGGAUGGGGGGAAGGGGACAAUCGACGUAGGUAAGGAGGCGGCCAUCGAGGCGGAGGUCCAGGCCGCGCGACAGAGGGCCGUAGUCCCACUGGAGAUCCGCAUGAAGCAGUUCCGGGACAUGCUAGCUGAGAAGGAGGUGUCUGCAUUUUCCACAUGGGAGAAAGAGCUCCACAAGAUCGUGUUUGACCAGCGCUACCUACUUCUGACGUCCAAGGAGAGGAAGCAAGUGUUUGAGCAGUACGUCAAGGAGAGGGCCGAAGAGGAGAGGCGGGAAAAACAUCGGAAACUCCGCGAAAAGAAGGACUCGUUCCGUCAACUUCUUGAGGAGGCCAAGCUCCAUGGAAAGUCAUCCUUCAGUGAAUUUGCCUCAAAGUACGGGAAAGACGAACGAUUCAAAGGCAUAGAGAAAAUGCGGGAACGGGAGAGCAUUUUCAGUGAUUACUGCUCGGACCUGCGACGUAAGGAGAAAGAGGAGAAAUCCACUCAGAAAGAAAAGAGGCGACACCUGCGAGGUUAGGAGCUCGUCCUUCAGCUGACGCGGCCACUGUCUACGGUUGAAGUCGGACUUUAUCCAACUCCUUAAGGAAACUUCGGAUAUAGAUCGCCACUCGCGAUGGAGUGAGAUAAAACGCAAGAUUGACUCUGAUUCUCGCUAUAAAGCGGUAGAUAGUAGUUCUCGUCGGGAGGACUGGUUCAAAGAUUACGUCAGAAAGUUAGAAGAUAAACGUGACAAAGACAAAGAUAAAGACAAGGACAAAGAGAGAGAUAGAGAGAAGGACAGAGACAAGGAUAGAGAGAGGGAUGAGGAUUCUGAUGAUGAAAGAAAGGAGAGAGAGAAACAAGAGAAACAGGAGAGAAUCGAGGCCAGUAUACGGAAGAGGACAGAGGAGGUGGAGCGGUCACUGUCCAGUUCCCUGAGGGAGAGGGACAAGGAGAGGGAGCAGCACAAAAAGGACGAGGCGGUCCAGCUGUUCAACGCCCUACUGGUUGACCUGGUACGUAACUCAGAAGCCAGCUGGCGGGAUACUCGUAAACAGCUGAGGAAAGAUCACCGCUGGGAGCUGGCCGAGUUACUGGACCGUGAAGAGAAGGAGAAGAUCUUUGAGGAACACAUUGAGAGUUUGUUCAAGCGGAACAAGGAGAUGUUCCACAAGCUGCUGGAUGAGACCAAUAUAAGUCUGGUAGCAGGAUGGAAGGAGGUGAAAAAAGUCAUCAAAGAAGACCCACGAUACUCCAAGUUUUCUUCUAGUGACAGAAAGAGAGAGAAAGAGUUCAGUGAUUAUAUGCAUGAGAAGUAUGUCCAAGCCAAAGCGGAUUUCCGAGAACUACUGAAAGAGACCAAGCUAAUCACAUACAAAUCCAAGAAGUUGAUAGAGGAAAGUGACUCUCAUCUGAAGGAUAUUGAGAAGAUUUUAGAGAACGACAAGCGUUACCUGGUUCUGGACUGUGCGCCCGAGGAACGAGCCAAGAUCUUGCUGGCCUACGUGGAGGAUCUACACAGGCGGGGGGUCCCGCCCCCACCCACAGCCUCGGAACCCUCCCGACGGUCCACCAAGUGAACGGGGACUGUCACACACCGGGGGGAUAUGUGUUCAUUGGUCGGGAGACUAGCCACAGAUCAUGUGAUUGGUCGUUAAAGUUUUAGACGACUGUUGAUGAAAUAGACAGAAUUCAUUUUUAUGUAUCAAAUCAUUUACAUUUUACCAAAAGAAAAUCCAUUUAUUUGUUGUCAUUUUAUGGUUUUUAAUAAUUGUAGAAAAUAAAUACCAGAGUGGUUAUACUGUU
rnacentral:misc_RNA from 1 species